rnacentral:rRNA from 1 species
UACAGGGGAGUAGCUCCUCGAAAGAGAGAUUAAGACCGCAUAACAUCAUGAUGCAGCAUUGCAAUGUGAUCAAAUAUUUAUAGGAUUAAGAUGGGCAUGCGGAACAUUAGCUAGUUGGUAAGGUAACGGCUUACCAAGGCUACGAUGUUUAGGGGAUCUGAGAGGAUGACCCCCCACACUGGUACUGAGACACGGACCAG